rnacentral:lncRNA from 1 species
CAAUUGUAAUAAAGCUGCCUCAGAUGGUAUCAUGACUGUGAAAAUCAGGUAACAGAAGAGAAUCACACAUUUAUCAUUUGAGCAGCCUUCUCCUGACAUCAGCUGUGACUCCUGACAAUUCCAAUGCAAGAAAACAAUUAUGGUGAGAAGUUAUAAGAGGAAAACCAUUUUGGUGGAACUCUGGAGAAAGAACAACUUGAGAUCCUGCAAUAAAAGGGUAUGCAACAGUUUAAAAUUAUGAAGAAUUCUCCACAUGUGGACUACGAGAGGAACCCAUGCCCCACCACCACAGUAAACUCUGGAAGGAUAUAAGCAAUGGUGGAUACCUGGAACUGGUCAUCUUCUGACAACAAAUGCAUAUUGAAUAAAUACCAGAAGAUGGAAACCAUGAAGAUGGUGUCUACACUAAGAAAACUUUCAAUUUAGCAGCAGAGAAAAGACAUGGAAAUAUGUGAAGGUAUGGGAAUGUCUUUCUUAUAUUAUUCUCCUUCAUGUUUUCUGUUCCAACAAAACUAG